UACGUAGGGGGCUAGCGUUAUCCGGAAUUAUUGGGCGUAAAGCGUCCGUAGAUGGUUUUGUCAGUCUGCUGUCAAAGCACAGGGCUUAACCCUGUAAAGGCAGUGGAAACUACAAGACUAGAGUGCAGUAGGGGCAGAGGGAAUUCCCAGUGUAGCGGUGAAAUGCGUAGAGAUUGGGAAGAACAUCCGUGGCGAAAGCGCUCUGCUGGACUGCAACUGACAUUGAGGGACGAAAGCUAGGGGAGCGAAUGGG
rnacentral:rRNA from 1 species